rnacentral:rRNA from 1 species
GCUAUGCCCGAUCUCGUCUGAUCUCGGAAGCUAAGCAGGUUUGGGCCUGGUUAGUACUUGGAUGAGAGACCACCUAGGAAUACCAGGUGCUUUAAGCUU